rnacentral:rRNA from 2 species
UCGCAAGACUGAAACUCAAAGGAAUUGACGGGGGCCCGCACAAGCGGUGGAGCAUGUGGUUUAAUUCGAAGCAACGCGAAGAACCUUACCAGGUCUUGACAUCCUCUGACAAUCCUAGAGAUAGGACGUCCCCUUCGGGGGCAGAGUGACAGGUGGUGCAUGGUUGUCGUCAGCUCGUGUCGUGAGAUGUUGGGUUAAGUCCCGCAACGAGCGCAACCCUUGAUCUUAGUUGCCAGCAUUCAGUUGGGCACUCUAAGGUGACUGCCGGUGACAAACCGGAGGAAGGUGGGGAUGACGUCAAAUCAUCAUGCCCCUUAUGACCUGGGCUACACACGUGCUACAAUGGACAGAACAAAGGGCAGCGAAACCGCGAGGUUAAGCCAAUCCCACAAAUCUGUUAUCAGUUCGGAUCGCAGUCUGCAAAUAGAGUGUGUGAAGCUGGAAUAGUUAGUAAUAGCUAGAGAGCGUGCCUCCGUGAAUAAGUAAGUGGGAGCUAGAUAGAGAUCGAUCCUCCCUCAGUAAGUACUAACUAGCUAGAGUGAGUCGAGCCUCACUAAGUAGGACAAGCAGA